AGGGGUAUAGCUCAGUGGUAGAGCUCAUGCUUAGCAUGCCUGAGGUCUUGGGUUCAAUCCCCAGUACUUCCA
rnacentral:tRNA from 1 species